GACUGCCUUUGGCAACCACCCCGCCCCAAAAUCUCUUUCUCCGCUGCGCCGCAAACCCACCGCUUCCACCAUCGCCACCCGUCACCCCUUGCUCCCAUAGUCCCCAUACCAUGCCCGACCUCCACCCGCCGGAGCACCAAGUCGCCGGUCACCGCGCCUCCGCCAGCAAGCUGGGCCCACUCAUCGACGACUCUGGCCUCUUCUACAAGCCGCUCCAGGCCGGCGACCGUGGGGAGCACGAGGUCGCCUUCUAUGAGGCGUUCUCCGCCCACGCCGCCGUCCCGGCCCGCAUCCGAGACACCUUCUUCCCCCGGUUCCACGGCACGCGACUCCUCCCCACCGAGGCGCAGCCCGGGGAGCCGCAUCCGCACCUCGUCCUCGACGACCUCCUCGCGGGGUUUGAGGCGCCCUGCGUCGCAGACAUCAAGAUCGGUGCCAUCACGUGACCACGAGCGUUCUGCUCGGAUUCCGCGUCUCCGGCGUCCGAGUCGUCGGCCCCGAGGGCGCCGUGUGGCGGACGGAGCGCCCGGAGGUGAAGGCUAU